rnacentral:rRNA from 1 species
UUGAACGCUGGCGGCAUGCCUUACACAUGCAAGUCGAACGGUAGAGGGGCAACCCUUGAGAGUGGCGAACGGGUGAGUAAUAUAUCGGAACGUGCCCAGUCGUGGGGGAUAACGCAGCGAAAGCUGCGCUAAUACCGCAUACGAUCUGUGGAUGAAAGCGGGGGAUCGCAAAGACCUCGCGCGAUUGGAGCGGCCGAUAUCAGAUUAGGUAGUUGGUGGGGUAAAAGCCC